AUUCUGGCCGGACAGAGCCGGACCUUCCUGUCUCAUGGAGCCUGCAGAGACAGACUCAAGCUGGUCCCAAACCAGGAGUACCUCAUCAUGGGCCCCAAAGACGACCAGUGGAACAUCGACAGCGCCACCAACAGGUACGUGUAUCUGCUGGGUAAGAACACGUGGGUGGAGCGAUGGCCGUCUGAGGAGGAGUGCAGCGCCUCCCUCAGGCAGAAGUGUGAGAGUCUGAACGCUAUGGCCAACGAGCUGUCCACGAACGGAUGCCGACUGUAACUACGCAGUGUCCCUGAACGCACCACCACUGGAGCUGUCCAAUCACUCUGUUAUUAUUAUUAUUACACAAAAUCCACUUUUUGGAGCUGUCUAUCAUGUUAAAAAAGUUGUCCCCUCAUCAAAAACCUGUCUGAAAAGGUUUUACAUCAUCAUCCAUGCUUGUUUGACUAAUAUUGUGAUCUCUCCUGAGAUUUAUUUGAACCUUCCUUAUGUUUAACUGUACAAGCCUGUACAAGGCUCCUCUAAUUAUUGUAUGUGAUUACUCUAGUGAUCUGACUUUACUGGACAUGUACGUGGACCCACUAUCUGUAUUGGUUUCGGUUCAUUGGUGCAUUUCUUGAAAUCUGUAAAAUGUCAUUGUUUCAGUCGACAAAACACUUAAAAUGUUUAUUUGAUUUAGAA